GAUGAACGCUAGCUACAGGCUUAACACAUGCAAGUCGAGGGGUAGCAGGGUAGCAAUACCGCUGACGACCGGCGCACGGGUGAGUAACACGUAUCCAACCUUCCCAUAACUCGGGGAUAGCCUUUCGAAAGAAAGAUUAAUACCCGAUAGUACUUUAUUAAGGCAUCUUAAGAAAGUUAAAGAUUUAUUGGUUAUGGAUGGGGAUGCGUUCCAUUAGAUAGUUGGUGAGGUAACGGCUCACCAAGUCUUCGAUGGAUAGGGGUUCUGAGAGGAAGGUCCCCCACAUUGGUACUGGGACACGGACCAAACUCCUACGGGAGGCAGCAGUGAGGAAUAUUGGUCAAUGGGCGAGAGCCUGAACCAGCCAAGUAGCGUGAAGGAUGAAGGUCCUAUGGAUUGUAAACUUCUUUUAUAGUGGAAUAAAGUGAACCACGUGUGGUUAUUUGUAGGUACUGUAUGAAUAAGGACCGGCUAAUUCCGUGCCAGCCGCCGCCGUAA
rnacentral:rRNA from 1 species